AUCGAAACUGCCAAAUUAAGACAAAGAGCUAGGAAGCACACAGGGAGCAAGUCAAGAGUUUUUAUCAGACAAACAACAAUUUUUUAUACUUAAAAAAAUUCACUUAUUUGUUUCUUUUGGUAACCAAAUAAACCCAAAGACUUGAGUGGGACAAAUAUUAUUAUCACCCCUACCCCCUUUUAGAUUUUGAAGCAAAAUGUCAGAAAAGGUAAGUAAUUUUCCCACAUUGAUAAUGUCAGUAGAGAGGUAAACCUCACCCCGGACACUCUGAUGCAGACACACCUCAUGCCUUUCCCAUAAGUCAUCUCUAAGCACGAGAAACACAAAAAGAACUAAAGGGAGGGAAGGAUGUAGCUUUAUUUGCUGCUUAAAACAAUGAACAAUAGAAACAAGUUAAGAAUAACCUGCAAUUAAUGACAAUGCUUGUGGUUCUGACGUAAGGGAAGAUCUUUGCAGCUUUCUGGAAAUGGUAAAAAAUGUGCUCAGUUUCAGGGAUGUACUACCAUUUCUACUGCCAAGAGACUAAAAUGUAAUAAUGCAUGGAAUAUUAAAUUAGAGACAUUUUCUUAACCUGAUGAAUGAGCCUUAGUUUCUUUGGGACCAGAACAUUGUCGUAGAUACAUAAGAAGCCCAACAGUAAACAGGAAAAUCAAAACAGACAAAGAAGGAAUCACAAUCAGUGGCAAAAAUCCUCUUUUCUUUGCAGAUGCUGGGCCACUGUCAACACUACCCCCAUAGCCUCUGUGCAGGCAGUGGGGAGGGGACCACCCAUAGCCACAGUGGCAGUGAUGUUGGUUAUUGCAGAUCCCCUUCAUAUUGCAGGUCUCAGGAAGGCAGACGUGUGACAAGACAGACAGACUGACACACUUCUUGUGGAUGCAGAUCUUUCCUGGGCCACACACAGUACCAUCUUUCACGUCACCAAUGUCAGAUUGGCUAUGUGGAUGCUGGAAGAUGGGGAAAACUUGUUUCAGUCUGAACAUUAUCCUUGCCAUCAACUUGCCUAAAGAGGUUGGAUUCAUCUGGGCGGUUUUCAUUGCUGCAAGUUAGGUACCUUAUUCCACGAGGUGUAAGUAGCGUGGAAGAGAAAAGCAAAGUUCAUAGACAAAACUUCCAAGAACAAAGGUCUCUGAAUUGGGAUGAAAAUCUAACUGUCGGAUUUGCUCUCGGUAUUUCUCUUGAUAUGUUUUCUACUUAUUAUGGAGUGACAGUUGUUGUGGAUGGGAGGAUUGAAAAUGGGAAGAACUAACCAAAGAUAUAAUGUUGUGGAAAGGACUGAUAAACUACACAAACCCGUGUCAUAUUAUUCUUUUCUUGGAGCUUAGUGUGAGAGCAGGCAAUAACAGGAGAAUAACUUCAAAAAUAUCUGUAAGCCAGAUUCAUUGUCUUCAUUCCUAGGACUUACAGAGACCAAAGCUCCUGAAGUACCAUCAUUCUACCAGGGAUACUGUGAGGUGGUCCCACUCUAAAUCUAUGUCCUCUAACAUCAGUGGACUGUCCAGUGAGCCAACAGCCCACUUAUUCAUGUGUGAUAAACUCUUCCUUUCCCCACAGCUAUUUCAAAUUCAUCAAGACCCCUCUCUACCCAUCUUCCCUCUUAUUCCAAUGCCCUAAUGCACUGUUUUCCUAUCUGUCUGUCACUAGUAUCUGUCCCAUU
rnacentral:lncRNA from 1 species